rnacentral:tRNA from 1 species
AUUCAAAUAGUUUAAUAAAAAAUACUAAUUUGUGAUAUUAGAGUUAUAAGUUUUAUUUUGGAUA